AAAAAGAUAGGCUAUAUAAGCCAUUAGACUCAUAAUCUAAGGAAAAGUUCAAUCUUUCUUUUUA
rnacentral:tRNA from 1 species